rnacentral:rRNA from 1 species
UACGGAGGGUGCAAGCAUUAAUCGGAUUUAUUGGGCGUAAAGGGCGCGUAGGCGGGAAGGAAAGUUAGGUGUGAAAUCCCGGGGCUCAACCCCGGACCCGCACCUAAUACUUCUUUUCUAGAGGGUGAGCGGAGAAAAUGGAAUUCCACAUGUAGCGGUGAAAUGCGUAGAUAUGUGGAGGAACACCGGUGGCGAAGGCGAUUUUCUAGCUUACUCCUGACGCUGAGGCGCGAAAGCAAGGGGAGCAAACAGG